AAUGGCUCUUUGUUGACAACAAGCAGCCUUUCUAAUAAAUCUGCAGAUGCAGUGGUCACAGUAUCUAAUAGACCUGUAAUAGUUCAAAGCCCUGAACCUUCUUUAGACACACAGUUUGUGCAUAACCCAUCAGGCAAAUGUACCUCAGAAUCAAUUCUACAAAAUAACAACAUUCCUGAUUCUGCUUCAGUUCCUUCAAAAGAAAAUGAUCAUAUCGUGUUAAAAGGUGAUAUUUGUGAAGAAACCCUCAUGGGUACUAAAACUGCUAAUGGUUCUUGGGAUUGUAGUGAACUAAAUAAUGAUUCCUGUGGGAAAACUUCAGCCCUUUGCAUGAAAUUGAAUCGGCCUGCACUUAAUGUUACACAAGCCACAUCUGUACCUGAUCGAUACUCUUCGUCUUUGGAGAAAGCCAGUGAAAAUGUGGCCGCAAGUGGUGUCAAAGAGACAAAAACAUUUGGCUCAGCUGUUUGUGAUGUUGACAGAAGUUCAGAACCAAUUGACUGUUCAAACAACAAUGUGACGAGCAACACAAUGCGACAUAGUGAGACUAUUGUAGUGGAUUCAGUGAACAAUGUGGGGGAUACAGCAAGCAACUCUUCACUGGCUACUAAAUCAUCCAGUAUACAAUCUGAUGCAGACACCCGGACGUCUGAAUUGUAAGGUCGAAGAUCUUAUUUUUAUGCUGAUGUUACCAUUAAUGUUUUGUUUAACAUGAAUGCAUGAUGUAUUUUGUACCUACAUAUCUAUGUCUGCUAUUCUGUGAUUUUAGUACAUGUGCCAUUUCUAUUUUUGACAUGCAUCUUUUCCCAAGUCGUGUUAUGAUGGGACUUCUCAUUUUUCUGGAUGACCUGAGAUGAUUAUUUUCGUCAAAGAUGUCUGCUUUUGAAAUCGCAUAUGCAAAACUGGGUCUAUGUGAUGACUUAAGACCUAGAAGAAUACAUGCAACAUCUUUCUGCUGGCAUGUGGGUAGGGCAUUGACUCUAAAAACUAGAAUUUAAUUCUCCCUGUUUUCUACAAAUAAUAGGCAAAAUGCUUGGGUUAUGAUAAUUUUGGUGAUGUAUAUGUGUGGACUAUUCACUUAUGCUGCACAAUUCUCUCUUAAAAAUAUGAAAUAGCUGGGCGCUGUUUUCUACUUGAGUGUGCACGUGAUGCUUUAUCUGGACACUGUUAAUUGAUUGGUUUUUUGAGCUGGUCGAGAUUAAUUCUGCAGAACAGAAAUUUGUUAUUAUUGGGACAUGCUUGAACCAUGAUAAUAUCCAUUGUUUCACCAAGUUGUGCAUAUAUUGGUACAAAUACAAAGGUAUGUAAGCUGUUUUGUGCUCUUAUAAACAGGUGUAUGCACAGUUUAGUCAAGGAAACCCGUGUAAACGAUUUGUAACAGGUGAAACCUUUCUGUUGCAUUUUUAUGUUUAGUUGUCAUGUAAUUUGGUGCUUUAUCAGGUGCAGGAAUAGCUGAAGCAGACUCUUGCGCCUCCGGUGCAGGAAUAUCCUUAGAGCCUAGAUCUUCCUAGAAUUGAUCGGACUGUCCGAUGCUCGCUUAGAUCACAAGGUGCUCAUAUACCAACCUUUGAGCCUGUUCCUGAGUCAAGUGUCUCGACAGUUGACGACAGAACUCCUGAGGACAAAGAAAGGUGGUGGAGGAGGGGCUUGAGAGCCAUUUCAGAGGGGAAGUUGGCUAUUGUUUUAUUGGCUGGUG